AAAGAAUAGAAUUGAGGAAGAGAAGCGAGAGAUUGGAGAAUACAAGAUGCAAAACAUGUGUUUCCAAGAUUGACAAUUCCUCUUGUUUUCUCUUCCAUUUUUUCUUUUUUCUUUUUUUUUCAAACUUCAUAAAAAA
rnacentral:ribozyme from 13 species